GCUUUUAAAGGAAAACAGCUCUCCACCGGCCUUAGGCGCCGACAUCUCUUGGCGCAAAUCCAAGUAAAAGCU
rnacentral:tRNA from 1 species